rnacentral:rRNA from 1 species
CCUACGGGAGGCAGCAGUGAGGAAUAUUGGUCAAUGGACGAGAGUCUGAACCAGCCAAGUAGCGUGAAGGAUGACUGCCCUAUGGGUUGUAAACUUCUUUUAUAUGGGAAUAAAAUGUUCCACGUGUGGGAUUUUGUAUGUACCAUAUGAAUAAGGAUCGGCUAACUCCGUGCCAGCAGCCGCGGUAAUACGGAGGAUCCGAGCGUUAUCCGGAUUUAUUGGGUUUAAAGGGAGCGUAGGUGGAUUGUUAAGUCAGUUGUGAAAGUUUGCGGCUCAACCGUAAAAUUGCAGUUGAAACUGGCAGUCUUGAGUACAGUAGAGGUGGGCGGAAGUCGUGGUGUAGCGGUGAAAUGCUUAGAUAUCACGAAGAACUCCGAUUGCGAAGGCAGUUCACUGGACUGCAACUGACACUGAGGCUCGAAAGUGUGGGUAUCAAACAGGAGUAGAUACCCGUGUAGUC